rnacentral:lncRNA from 1 species
CAAGAACAAAAAAAAUGAGAAAGAAAUCAAAAUGCAAGCAAAUAACAAAAAGAGUGAGAAUGCUAGAUUAUGAUCCACACUCAGUCCCCCCAGUCCUCUCUCUUAGUACAGAUGGCCCUUUUCAUUACAAGACCCUUGGAACUGGCCUGAAUCAUCUCGUUGAAAAGAGCCACAUAGGUCAGAAUUAAUCAUCAUAUAAUCUUGUUGUUGCUAUGUACAGUAUUCUCCUGAUUCUACUUACUUCACUCAGCAUCAGUUCAUGCAAGCCGCUUCAGGCCUCUCUAAAAUCAUCCUGCUGAUCAUUUCUUACAGAACAAUAAUAUUCCAUAGCAUUCAUAUACCAUAACUUAUUCAACCAUUCUUCAACUGAUGGGCAUCCACUCAGUUUCCAGUUUCUUGCCACUACAAAAGGGGCUGCCACAAACAUUUUUGCACAUGUGGGUCCUUUUCCCUCCUUUAAGAUCUCUUUGCAAUACAAACCCAGUAGAAAUACUGUUGGAUCAAAGGGUAUGCACAAUUUGAUAGCCCUUUGAGCAUAGUUCCAUGUUGUUCUCCAGUUGGAUCUGUUCACAACUCCACCAACAAUGCAUCAGUGUACUGGUUUUCCCACAUCCCCUCCAACAUUCGUCAUUAUCAUUUCUUGUCAUUUUAGCCAAUCUGGGAGGUGUGUGGUGGUACUUCAGAGACUUUUUAAUCUGCAUUUCUCUGAUCAAUAAUUUAGAUUUAGAGCAUUUUUUUCAUGUGACUAUAAGGUUUUAAUUUCUUCAUCUGAAAAUUGUCUGUUCAUAUCCUUUAACCAUUUAUCAAUUAGAGAAUGGCUUGAAUUCUUAUGAAUUUGUGUCAAUUUUCUAUAUAUUUUAGAAAUGAGAUAGGGCCUGAAUGCUCAUCACUAGAAUAUAAGCUACUUGAAGGCAGGCAUUAUUUUGUUUUUGUUUUCAUCUUUGUCUCUUUAUUCAGCACCUAGCAUAGUGAAUGACAUGUGGGAAGGAAGAGGUCCAGAUUUGUGAUUUCUAUGUUGUAGCAAACUUCUGGUGUGGGAGUUCUCUCUACUGAUUCAAAUCAAUGAUUUAUUGUAAUAUACACACAGACACACACACAUGUGUGUAUAUACAUAUGUACACA